rnacentral:rRNA from 1 species
GGUAAUGUCUGGGAAACUGCCCGAUGGAGGGGGAUAACUACUGGAAACGGUAGCUAAUACCGCAUAACGUCGCAAGACCAAAGAGGGGGACCUUCGGGCCUCUUGCCAUCGGAUGUGCCCAGAUGGGAUUAGCAGUAGGUGGGGUAACGGCUCACCUAGGCGACGAUCCCUAGCUGGUCUGAGAGGAUGACCAGCCACACUGGAACUGAGACACGGUCCAG